CCUACGGGAGGCAGCAGUGGGGAAUAUUGCGCAAUGGGGGAAACCCUGAUGCAGCGACGCCGCGUGAGUGAAGAAGUCUUUCGGUAUGUAAAGCUCUGUCAGCAGGGAAGAAGGUGAAGUUACCUGAUUAGGAAUCCACGGCUAACUCCGUGCCAGGAGCCGCCGUCAUACUUCGGGUGCGAGCGUUAACCGGAUUUGAUGGGGGUAAAGGGAGCGCGAGCGGUAGUGCAAGUCUGGAGUGAAGGCCCCGGGCCCAACCCGGGAACUGCCUUGGAAACUGUGCGGCUAGAGUACGUGAGGGGCAGGCGGAAGUCCUGGUGUAGCGGUGAAAUGCGUAGAUAUCAGGAGGAACACCAGUGGCGAAGGCGGCAUGCUGGAAAGUAACUGACGCUGAGGCUCGAAAGCGUGGGGAGCAAACAGGAUUAGAUACCCUAGUAGUC
rnacentral:rRNA from 1 species